GAUGAACGCUAGCGGCAGGCUUAAUACAUGCAAGUCGUACGGGAUCCGAGGUAGCAAUAUCUUGGUGAGAGUGGCGCACGGGUGCGUAACACGUAUGCAACCUACCUUUAACCGGGACACAACCUCGAGAAAUUGAGGCUAAUAUCCCAUAACACUGCGAAGUGGCAUCACUAUGCAGUUAAAACUCCGGUGGUUAUUGAUGGGCAUGCGCGACAUUAGCUAGUUGGUGAGGUAACGGCCCACCAAGGCUACGAUGUCUAGGGGUUCUGAGAGGAUUAUCCCCCACACUGGUACUGAGACACGGACCAGACUCCUACGGGAGGCAG
rnacentral:rRNA from 1 species